GAUGAACGCUGGCGGCGUGCCUAAUACAUGCAAGUCGAGCGAACGGACGAGAAGCUUGCUUCUCUGAUGUUAGCGGCGGACGGGUGAGUAACACGUGGAUAACCUACCUAUAAGACUGGGAUAACUUCGGGAAACCGGAGCUAAUACCGGAUAAUAUUUUGAACCGCAUGGUUCAAAAGUGAAAGACGGUCUUGCUGUCACUUAUAGAUGGAUCCGCGCUGCAUUAGCUAGUUGGUAAGGUAACGGCUUACCAAGGCAACGAUGCAUAGCCGACCUGAGAGGGGGAUCGGCCACACUGGAGCUGAGACACGGUCCAGACUCCUACGGGAGGCAGCAGUAGGGAAUCUUCCGCAAUGGGCGAAAGCCUGACGGAGCAACGCCGCGUGAGUGAUGAAGGUCUUCGGAUCGUAAAACUCUGUUAUUAGGGAAGAACAUAUGUGUAAGUAACUGUGCACAUCUUGACGGUACCUAAUCAGAAAGCCACGGCUAACUACGUG
rnacentral:rRNA from 1 species